UACGAAGGGUGCAAACGUUGCUCGGAAUUAUUGGGCGUAAAGCGUCCGCAGGUGGCGAUUCAAGUCUGCGGUUAAAGACUGGGGCUUAACCCUGGAAAGGUCGUGGAAACUGAAACGCUAGAGUGCAGUAGGGGUAGAGGGAAUUCCCGGUGUAGCGGUGAAAUGCGUAGAGCUCGGGAAGAACAUCGGUGGCGAAAGCGCUCUGCUGGACUGCAACUGACACUCAGGGACGAAAGCUAGGGGAGCGAAUGGG
rnacentral:rRNA from 1 species